AUUGAACGCUGGCGGCAGGCCUAACACAUGCAAGUCGAGCGGAGCGGCGGCCGGGUGAGUAAUGCCUAGGGACAUGCCUGGUAGGGGCGGAUAACGUCCGGAAACGGGCGCUAAUACCGCAUACUAUUUGAUCAGCCUAGGUCGGAUUAUCUAGUUGGUGGGGUAACGGCCUACCAAGGCGACGAUCCGUAACUGGUCUGAGAGGAUGAUCAGUCACACUGGAACUGAGCCACGGUCCAGAGUCCUACGGGAGGCAGCAGUGGGGAAUAUUGGACAAUGGGCGAAAGCCUGAUCCAGCCAUACCGCGUGUGUGAUGAAGGUCUUCGGAUUGUAAAGCACUUGAGGUUGGAAAGCGUUACCAACAGAAUAAGCACCGGCUAACUACGUGCCAGCAGCCGCGGUAAUAC
rnacentral:rRNA from 1 species